UACGGAGGAUGCAAGCGUUAUCCGGAAUGAUUGGGCGUAAAGCGUCCGCAGGUGGCUGUGUAAGUCUGCUGUUAAAGAGUCUAGCUCAACUAGAUACAAGCAGUGGAAACUACACGGCUAGAGUACGUUCGGGGCAGAGGGAAUUCCUGGUGUAGCGGUGAAAUGCGUAGAGAUCCGGAAGAACACCGGUGGCGAAGGCGGCCCGCUGGGCAGUGGCUGACGCUGAGGCGCGACAGCGUGGGGAGGCAAACAGG
rnacentral:rRNA from 1 species